rnacentral:rRNA from 1 species
GCUUGCUACCUGACCUAGCGGCGGACGGGUGAGUAAUGCUUAGGAAUCUGCCUAUUAGUGGGGGACAACAUUCCGAAAGGAAUGCUAAUACCGCAUACGCCCUACGGGGGAAAGCAGGGGAUCUUCGGACCUUGCGCUAAUAGAUGAGCCUAAGUCAGAUUAGCUAGUUGGUGGGGUAAAGGCCUACCAAGGCGACGAUCUGUAGCGGGUCUGAGAGGAUGAUCCGCCACACUGGGACUGAGACACGGCCCAGACUCCUACGGGAGGCAGCAGUGGGGAAUAUUGGACAAUGGGCGAAAGCCUGAUCCAGCCAUGCCGCGUGUGUGAAGAAGGCCUUUUGGUUGUAAAGCACUUUAAGCGAGGAGGAGGCUACUUGGAUUAAUACUCUAGGAUAGUGGACGUUACUCGCAGAAUAAGCACCGGCUAACUCUGUGCCAGCAGCCGCGGUAAUACAGAGGGUGCGAGCGUUAAUCGGAUUUACUGGGCGUAAAGCGUGCGUAGGCGGCUUCUUAAGUCGGAUGUGAAAUCCCUGAGCUUAACUUAGGAAUUGCAUUCGAUACUGGGAAGCUAGAGUAUGGGAGAGGAUGGUAGAAUUCCAGGUGUAGCGGUGAAAUGCGUAGAGAUCUGGAGGAAUACCGAUGGCGAAGGCAGCCAUCUGGCCUAAUACUGACGCUGAGGUACGAAAGCAUGGGGAGCAAACAGGAUUAGAUACCCUGGUAGUCCAUGCCGUAAACGAUGUCUACUAGCCGUUGGGGCCUUUGAGGCUUUAGUGGCGCAGCUAACGCGAUAAGUAGACCGCCUGGGGAGUACGGUCGCAAGACUAAAACUCAAAUGAAUUGACGGGGGCCCGCACAAGCGGUGGAGCAUGUGGUUUAAUUCGAUGCAACGCGAAGAACCUUACCUGGUCUUGACAUAGUAAGAACUUUCCAGAGAUGGAUUGGUGCCUUCGGGAACUUACAUACAGGUGCUGCAUGGCUGUCGUCAGCUCGUGUCGUGAGAUGUUGGGUUAAGUCCCGCAACGAGCGCAACCCUUUUCCUUAUUUGCCAGCGAGUAAUGUCGGGAACUUUAAGGAUACUGCCAGUGACAAACUGGAGGAAGGCGGGGACGACGUCAAGUCAUCAUGGCCCUUACGACCAGGGCUACACACGUGCUACAAUGGUCGGUACAAAGGGUUGCUACCUAGCGAUAGGAUGCUAAUCUCAAAAAGCCGAUCGUAGUCCGGAUUGGAGUCUGCAACUCGACUCCAUGAAGUCG